rnacentral:pre_miRNA from 1 species
AAAAAAGCAAACCGUGGGUUUGCGUGCCAACGUUUGACUGUUCAUCUUAUAUGAAAUUUUUUUAUAAUUAGUAUUUUCAUUGUUGUUAGAUGAUAAAACAUGAUGAAUACUUUAUGCGUGACUUAUCUUUUUAAUUUUUUUAUAAUUUUUUUAAAUAAGACGGACGGUCAAACAUUAGACACGGAAACCAGGGUU